rnacentral:rRNA from 1 species
GAUGAACGCUAGCUACAGGCUUAACACAUGCAAGUCGAGGGGAAACGACAUCGAAAGCUUGCUUUUGAUGGGCGUCGACCGGCGCACGGGUGAGUAACGCGUAUCCAACCUGCCCAUCACUUUGGGAUAACCUUACGAAAGUAAGACUAAUACCCAGUGAUAUCACUAAAAGACAUCUGAAAGAGAUUAAAGGUUUAUCGGUGAUGGAUGAGGAUGCGUCUGAUUAGCUUGUUGGCGGGGUAACGGCGCACCCAGGCAACGAUCAGUAGGUGUUCUGAGAGGAAGCUCCCCCACAUUGGAACUGAGGUACAGUCCACACUCGUACGGGAGGCAGCAGUGAGGAAUAUUGGUCAAGGGACGAGAGCCUGAACCAGCCAAGUAGCGUGCAGGAAGACGGCCCUAUGGGUUGUAAACUGCUUUUAUAAGGGAAUAAAGUGAGAGUCGUGACUCUUUUUGUAUGUACCUUAUGAAUAAGGACCGGCUAAUUCCGUG